rnacentral:rRNA from 1 species
GCUUAACACAUGCAAGUCGAGGGGCAGCAGGGAUUUAGCUUGCUAAAUCCGCUGGCGACCGGCGCACGGGUGCGUAACGCGUAUCCAACCUUCCCGUUACUCUGGGAUAGCCUUCCGAAAGGGUGAUUAAUACCGGAUGGUGUUCAAUUGGUGCAUAUUAUUUGAACUAAAGAUUUAUCGGUAACGGAUGGGGAUGCGUACCAUUAGAUAGUAGGCGGGGUAACGGCCCACCUAGUCGACGAUGGUUAGGGGUUCUGAGAGGAAGGUCCCCCACACUGGAACUGAGACACGGUCCAGACUCCUACGGGAGGCAGCAGUGAGGAAUAUUGGUCAAUGGCCGGGAGGCUGAACCAGCCAAGUAGCGUGAAGGAUGAAGGUUCUAUGGAUUGUAAGCUUCUUUUAUACGGGAAUAACACCAUCUACGUGUAGAUGCCUGCAUGUACCGUAUGAAUAAGCAUCGGCUAACUCCGUGCCAGCAGCCGCGGUAAUACGGAGGAUGCGAGCGUUAUCCGGAUUUAUUGGGUUUAAAGGGAGCGUAGACGGGAUGUUAAGUCAGUUGUGAAAUGCUGUGGCUCAACCAUAGCACUGCAGUUGAUACUGGCGUUCUUGAGUGCGUAUGAGGUAUGUGGAAUUCGUGGUGUAGCGGUGAAAUGCUUAGAUAUCACGAA